rnacentral:lncRNA from 1 species
UUUGCCGAAUUCCUCCUAAAUAUUGAGCAGCCUGCUAGAGACUAGAGACGCAGACUAUGCUUGUUUCCUGAGCUGCGGCUUGAAUGAUACCAACUCCCCUGCCAUGUUGAGGAACUUUUCUUGCUCAGUGUGUACAUAACCAGCCAGAUCUUCCAACAAUACAACAGCAACAGCAGCUGAUCACCUCUGAUGUUUGAAUCCAAGUCACCUUGAGGGAUACAGGGCUAUAGUCACUGUUGAUAGGGUCCUGCCCUCAAAAGUACCACUAUCUAGCUGGGGAGAUAGAAUAUCUACAUUUAAAGAUAGACAACCAUGAAGGGCCACAAAUAUGAGGUAUCAUAUGG